rnacentral:rRNA from 1 species
AAAUGAAUAGACGGGGGCCCGCACAAGCAGUGGAGUAUGUGGUUUAAUUCGACGCAACGCGAAGAACCUUACCAGGGCUUGACAUCCUCUGACGACGUAAGAGAUUACGUUUUCCCUUCGGGGACAGAGAGACAGGUGGUGCAUGGUUGUCGUCAGCUCGUGUCGUGAGAUGUUGGGUUAAGUCCCGCAACGAGCGCAACCCCUAUUGCCAGUUGCCAGCAAGUAAUGUUGGGCACUCUGGCGAGACUGCCGUUGACAAAACGGAGGAAGGUGGGGACGACGUCAAAUCAUCAUGCCCCUUAUGUCCUGGGCUACACACGUACUACAAUGGCAACAACAGAGGGCGGCCAAACCGCGAGGUUGAGCGAAUCCCAAAAUGUUGUCUCAGUUCAGAUUGCAGGCUGAAACUCGCCUGCAUGAAGUCGGAAUUGCUAGUAAUGGCAGGUCAGCAUACUGCCGUGAAUACGUUCCCGGGCCUUGCACACACCGCCCGU